GACGAACGCUGGCGGCGUGCUUAACACAUGCAAGUCGAACGGAAAGGCCCUGCUUUUGUGGGGUGCUCGAGUGGCGAACGGGUGAGUAACACGUGAGUAACCUGCCCUUGACUUUGGGAUAACUUCAGGAAACUGGGGCUAAUAUCGGAUAGAAGCUCCUGCUGCAUGGUGGGGGUUGGAAAGUGUCGGCGGUGGGGGAUGGACUCGCGGCUUAUCAGCUGGUUGGUGUGGUAGUUGCUUACCAAGGCUUUGACGGGUAGCCGGCCUGAGAGGGUUACCGGCGACAUUGGGACUGAGAUACGGCGCAGACUCGUACGGGAGGCAGUAGUGGGAAAUAUUGCACAAUGGGCGGAAGCCUGAUGUAGCAGCGCCGCGUGCGGGAUGACGGGUUUCGGGUUAUAAACCGCUUUGGCAUGUGACGAAGAGUGAGUGACGGUAAUGGGUAAAGAAGCACCGGCUAACUACGUG
rnacentral:rRNA from 1 species